rnacentral:rRNA from 1 species
UACGAAGGGGGCGAGCGUUGUUCGGAUUUACUGGGCGUAAAGGGCGCGUAGGCGGCCGAUCAAGUCAGGCGUGAAAGCCCCGGGCUCAACCUGGGAAUGGCGCUUGGGACUGGUUGGCUUGAGUUCGGGAGAGGAGAGUGGAAUUCCCAGUGUAGAGGUGAAAUUCGUAGAUAUUGGGAAGAACACCGGUGGCGAAGGCGGCUCUCUGGACCGAGACUGACGCUGAGGCGCGAAGGCGUGGGGAGCAAACAGG